rnacentral:rRNA from 1 species
UACGUAGGGUGCAAGCGUUGUCCGGAAUUAUUGGGCGUAAAGAGCUCGUAGGCGGUCUGUCACGUCGGCUGUGAAAACCCGAGGCUCAACCUCGGGCCUGCAGUCGAUACGGGCAAACUAGAGUACUGCAGGGGAGACUGGAAUUCCUGGUGUAGCGGUGAAAUGCGCAGAUAUCAGGAGGAACACCGAUAGCGAAGGCAGCUCGCUGGGACGGUACUGACGCUGAGGUGACGGAAAGCCGUGGGGGAGCGAACAGG